rnacentral:sRNA from 1 species
GCAUCGGCAAAAUCCGAUGCCGGGAUUGGUCUCCCGGUCAAUGUCACAGCGCACAACACGCGCCUGCGUGUUUUUU